CACACUCUCUCUUUCUCUCUACCAUCUUCGCUCUCUCUUUCUCUCUCAAAACUAAUCGCCGGCCACCAAAUCUGAAAACACAACUCUGACCACCAAAUCAAUUGAUGUUGAAUACACAGAGGUUGGGGGUUUUGUUAACCCUCGUUGCCGAAAAAAAACAACGGUAGGGGUUUUCUUUGCCAGUGGUUUAGAUAGAGAGAGGUUUGGGUUCCGACGACCCAAUUGAUUUUCCGGUGAUAUGCUACAGUUUUGGCAACAUUCAACACACAAUCGGUGUUGGUUCAUGGAGUUCAACGGUGGAUGCCGCCCAAUUUCGCACUCCGGAAUCUAUAGAGGUCAAUGCCAUAAUGGCACCAUGCCUUGGCAUCUUUAACGUUACAUCUAAUAUAGAUGACAUCCAUGUACAACUCGAUAUAGGAAGGUGUUGCAAGGAACUCCAGAAGAUACCACCAUGGAUUAAUACCAAGGCGAAUGGCUUGUCUAAUUUGUGCAACAUUCUAAAGGAACUCGUUAAGUCUUUGCCGUACUUCCAACCAAAGCCUUUCGGUCGUGUUAUGUCUGAAAAACGUCCUGUGAAGCUUGGUCUGCCUCUUUUAACUCCAAAUGUUAACUGCCAAAAUAUAAAAUAAACUAGAAAAAUAGUAUUAUUGUUGUUGUUAUUAUUAUUAUUAUUAAUGGUCAAGUGUAACAACUGUUAA